rnacentral:rRNA from 1 species
GCUUACGGCCAUAUCAGCCUCAACAUGCCCUAUUUCGUCUGAUCUCGGAAGCUAAGCAGGCUCGGGCCUGGUCAGUACUUGGAUGGGAGACUGCCUGGGAAUAUCAGGUGCUGUAAGCU